UACAGAGGUCCCAAGCGUUGUUCGGAUUCACUGGGCGUAAAGGGUGCGUAGGCGGUUUGACAAGUCUGAUGUGAAAUCCCGCAGCUUAACUGCGGAACUGCAUUGGAAACUGUUUGACUAGAGGAAUGGAGGGGAGACUGGAAUACUUGGUGUAGCAGUGAAAUGCGUAGAUAUCGGGAGGAACACCUGUGGCGAAAGCGGCGCACUGGACCACAACUGACGCUGAGGCGCGAAAGCUAGGGGAGCAAACAGG
rnacentral:rRNA from 1 species